rnacentral:tRNA from 1 species
AGAGCUCAAAAAACUAAACUUCUAAUUUAACAAAACGAUAAAAUAUCGUAAGCUCUA